rnacentral:lncRNA from 1 species
UCACUCUUCGUCUUUUUACUCUCGUCCUUGUCGCGCCCCCUUUUUCUAAGGAGAAAUCGGGCUUGUGACAUUUGAGAGGACAACUCCUUCACUUUUGGGAAUUGUAUUUUGAAAUUGACGAGUCACCACCCAAUGAUUAAAGUGCAUUAGGACACUAAAGAAGGGUUUGAGUUUGAAGAACCAGAGUUUGGGUAAAAGCUAGAGGGGAAGGUGUUAGGUACACCUCAAGAUCCACUAGUAUGGUUCCCAACCAUGUUAUAAUUGUGACUUUACAUAAUCAAGUAAGCAAUUUAGGGCUCAAAUAGAAGGGCUUGCAUGUAACAUUGCAAAUAAGUUGGAACUUUGAAAAGUAAAGAGGGC